CAGACUGAUCUGCGUUUCCAGAGUCAUGCUGUGUUGGCUCUGCAGGAGGCUGCUGAGGCUUACUUGGUUGGUCUCUUUGAGGACACAAAUCUUUGUGCCAUUCAUGCCAAGCGUGUCACUAUCAUGCCAAAGGACAUUCAGCUUGCUAGGCGUAUCAGGGGCGAGCGUGCUUAAUUUGAUCAAGUGUGGUAGCUUUGGUGGUGCUUUUAGAUCUUUUUUUUUUUUUAUAAGACAAUGAUGGUAUUAAAAUUUAGUAAUAGGGAUGAUAUGCUAUGUUGAUCUUAUUUUGUGUGGUGGAUGGAGGUGUGCUGUAAUUGUUGUUCUGUUUUGGGAAGUGGAGAAGCAUAGUAUUUGUUGAAUCUUUCUAAUGUUUUGUUGUCACACCACUGGUGUUGAACACGUUUCAGAAUUUGCAUCUAAUGUUUAGUUCAACUGUUUGGUAUUUGCAUCUUAUCUUUCACUUCAUAGUCUUAUUGUUAGCAUUGCAAUGAUAUUUUUAGGGCCAAAUUGGAGUUUGGUGUUAAAUGUUUGUUGACAUUGGCAGAGGCAUCCGACGCCUUAAGAGUGCUGAUGCAUUGGUCGUUGCAACUUUCCUGGUAUAGUCGAACGUGGCAUUGGCACAAGGGUUUUUUGUCCAUGUAGCUUCUUUAAAAGCAUGUCAAAGGGAUCCUCAGUUGACCCUUUUUAUAAUAAGUUGCCUUGUCAUCAUUUCUUAAUGCGCAAAGUAUUGGACUCUCUUAGCCUAAUUCUUACGAGAUGGAUUCAUAAAAUCUACCUACGCAACAUAUCUGGCAGGCUCUUAAAUCUGAGAGCUAACUUCGUGCUAUCCACGUCUCUGUGAGUGUGGCACUUGAAAUUUGUUUAAAAUCAUCCCAAAGGUAGGUGUAGGUGUAGGUGUAGGUGUAGGUGUUACAUAUGAGUGGAAUUGUAGACGUGUACAAAAUUAUCCCAAAGGUAGAUGGUACAUAUGUUUUUUGUUUUAUCUUAUACUCGGGGAAGUUUGAGCGUAGGACUAUGCAGAGAAUGAAACUGCACUAUUUUGCUGUGUGGCAAUGUCAUAAGGAGUGCCAAAGAAACACAACAUCCAUAUAAGUCAUAUCCUACAGAAAAUCUCAUUUUCUGUAGAAUUGGAAUUAUCUUAAAUAGGAGGACACAAGCUCUUACUUUCUAUCCUUGGAGGCACAAGGCUAGAACAUCAAGAUCUCAAUGCAUUGGCACGAGAGGGUAAACUCCAAUCUGCGCGGGGUGUUUGAUAAAAUGUUACCGAGAGAGAUGUGGUUUAUUGGAAUUCAACGAUUACAGUCUAUUGACAAUAUGAGUGUCUCCUGAAUCAAAUAAACUCACAGAAACGGGUUUGAGAACCAUAAACUACCAAGAGCCCGUAGUAGUACUCCUAUAGAUGACGUAAAGUAUAUAGGAUGUACCACGGAUUUUGGGGAAAAGAAUAACUCUGAAAAGAGAGUUUGAGCAUUGCUGGUGCGAGAUAUCAUAGAGUGAUUGACAAACAAUAGAAUUUAUCCAAAUGUUAUAUUCAUCAUACGAUACAGUACAAUAUAUUACAAUAAGGUACGAUAUGUUAUGAAACCAUAGGUAUCAACCAUCCAAACAAGCUGUAAGAAUUUCAAGUUACUUUCAAGGAUACCAGAUUGAUAACUCUAUAGGACUUUUGCCAAAAGUUCUUAAGCCAAAAAAAUACAAAACAACGCCUCUAUCUCAUUAACUUGAGUGAUAUUUGUCCUUCAAAUUUUUCCCCUAAUUACAGUACCAACUGGCUUAAAGAGCUGAUUAAUUAGCCCAAAUAUACUACUGAUUAAUUGCUGCCCCAUGCAAUAGGUGGUUCCAUUUCAACAUUUCUACAUAUAUCCUUAUCUUUAAUGUUUGUUCGCCAUUUCCUGAGCUACAAGCUCAAAACUUUCAUACCAUUAAACCUCCCUUGCUGCCAUAGCUUUGAACGUUAUAUUUCCCGCCGCACGAGCAAACCCUCCAAAUCACCUCAGGUUGUCUACAACUGCAACAUCAGGAUCAAUGAGCUGGCACGAGAAGGUAAACUCCAAUCUGCUCAGAAGGUGUUUGAUGAAAUGUUACACAGAGAUGUUGUUUCUUGGAAUUCAAUGAUUACAGCCUACUGGCAAAAUGGGUGUCUCAGUGAAUCAAAGAAACUGUUUUUAUCAAUGCCUGAGAGGACUGUAGUGUCUUGGAAUUCUAUGAUCGCAGGUUGCGUGGAAAAUGAUAGCAUUGAUGAUGCUUACUUAUAUUUUAGCACUAUGCCUGAGAAGAAUGUUGCAUCGUGGAAUGCAAUGAUUUCGGGUUAUGUUAAACAUGGUAUGGUGGAGGCGGCGGCGAGGUUGUUUGAUGAGAUGCCUAGAAAGAAUGUGAUUUCUUAUACUGCAAUGAUCGAUGGGUAUACGCAGAAAGGUGAGAUUGACAAGGCAAAGUCACUUUUUGACCGUAUGCCACAAAAAAAUGAGGUUUCUUGGACUGUGAUGAUUAAUGGGUAUGUAGAGAACGGGUGUUUCGAUAAGGCAAAAGAGUUGUUUGAAAAGAUGCCAGCUAAGAAUAAGCAUGUUGUUGCGACUACAGCUAUGGUAAUUGGGUAUUGCAAGGAGGGACGGGUGGAGGAAGGAAGGAUUUUGUUUGAUGGAAUACUAUGUAAAGAUAGUGUUGCUUAUAAUGCCAUGAUUUCAGGUAUGUAAAGUAUGAUUUUCGAGAUUUAGAUAGUGUGAUCCCUGUGGUUGAUUCUCUUUUUUCUUUUAUCGUGGUUCAUUAAGUUGAUAAUUAAAGACAGUGAUGAUUCAUUAUUUUCAUAUGUAAUGUGAUUACGGUAAUUGAGCAUAGAACUGGAGAGUUGUGUUCACUUCUUGUCAGGCAAGUGCACCAUAAUCUUUUACUUAGUAACUUUAAGAUUUUAUUGAACUGAAUCAAUCUAAUUUAUGAUGAGAUAGACACCCUUUACUGUUUAAAUUAAUUUGAUGAAUGGCCUAAGUAUUCCUGCACUGUAUUCACUUGAUUCUGGUCCAAAAUAUCAGUUAAAUACAAGCUGAAGCAUCUGGAUUUGGAGUGCUAUGAAAGCUCAAAAUUUUAUUGAAUCAACUGCUAAAAAAGUGUUUGGCGGGAAAUACGUGAUCUAUUUUUAUGCUAGUUGUUAGAGCAGUUGAAGCUAAGAGUAUGAAGUUUAAUGAAGAGAUACAAGCUGAAACGGGGCAGUAAUCAAACCCAGGGGCUUGUCGCCCGAGCCUCGGACUGGUCGAUGAAGGAGCCUCGGGGCUGAUAUCCGGCUCGGUCUCGAGCUAUUAGGGGUAGUCGGGGAUGGGAUAACAGUUGAGAUAUGAUCAAGCAAGGCUCUUUAUGGCCAAUACCAAACAAUAAAUGAAGAACAAGUAUGAAAGCAAUAAACGUUAAGAGUGGCCUCGAGCUAAUAAGAACGAGCAAGUUAGAGAGAAGAGAGGGAGAGAGAUAUUAUUGAUCUUGUGGAGAAUAGUUGGAGCAACGUCAGCCGAGAGACUACAAAGUAAUGGGGAUCCCCUUUAUAUAGGAGGGAAAUCCACUAUAGUACAAAAUGUGGUAACUGUGAAGGCGUGGAGAUAGGAUGGCUGGAUGUGACAUCUCGAAAUGGGCCCCGGAUAGGUCAGCCUUGUCAGAUUAAGCCGCGUGCCUUGGGAACUCCCCUCUCGCCUGUUGUAGUGCACUAUAGCUGUUGGAACGCGAUGCCCUCCGGACUGAUACCUGACGACCCCCGAGGGUGAGUCUCGACCUUGGCUUCUAGCUUCGAGGAGCAUGACCGCGAGACGACCCUAUGACAGGGAAAUCGGGCCCCUGAUUCGCCGUAUACAGAUAGUCUCCGCGUUUCUUAGAGUGAAAGCGGCAGGAUAUGAUAAGAAACGGUCCUGAACUCCUGCUUCCUUUGGUGUUCUUGCAAACGGCUACGAGAUGCCAAGGUGCACCAUGCGUGCUGUCCUUGCAGGUUUUUCGCAUUGACUGCGGCGGUUGGCUUCCUUCAAUGUAUCCACGACGCUUUUAUAAAUACUCACCUCUUCCUUUCUAGACUCCAUCUCGUGCCAAAAACCCCCUAGUAAGGUCUAUUUUUCCCUCGUUCUUGCUCUUUUUCAAGAACGCAACCACUUCUUCUUCUUCCUUCAGAUUCUCUCAAGGAUGGCGAAAAUUUCCACUUCUGCUUCCCAGGAGGUUGCGGGCCACUUCCCCCUGUGUCGAGGAGUGUGUCCCAGGAUCCUUGUGAUGACUUCUGAUUUUAGGGUCGAGAGACUUUCCUCGAAGUCAGGGCGCCGCGAGCCUGUAACUCGGUAUAUCAGCUCUAUGACGGAUAUCGAAAGAGUAAGGGCCGACUGUCGUUGGGGGGAUACCGUGCUCAUGGAGAUUCCCGCUCGGGAGGAAGAUAUUACUAUGAGCCGGAUUUCUGAGUGUGUAUACUUACCCAUUCACCUUGGGGCCGGUGGAGUCAUCCUCGCCCCUGAUCGACCCUGUGAUUCUCGACUUCUGCCGGAGUUAUCAGGUAACUUUGGGUCAAGUUCAUCCUUUGUUCUGGCGCGUGGUUUAUAUGAUCAGGCAUUACUCGAGCAUGAUAGAGGGAAUGCCCUUCACCCUGAACCAUCUAAUCCGGAUGUAUAGUCCCCGACUUCUUCGCAGGGGCUUAAUCAAGCUUCGUUGCCGAGCCCCGAGAUCCCUUUUUGCCUGCAUCGAGGAGUUCGGGGACGAGGGAUGGUUAAGCCGAUUCGUCCGAGUGAGGACGUCUGACCUGAUUCCAGUGGAUAAGAUGUCAUUCCCUGAAAAGUGGAACGUCGGGCAUAAGUAAACGUGGUGUCUUUGCUCCUUCUUGGCGAUAUUUCCCUAUGCGUCUAACUCUGUUUUUCUUGUCUUUUCAGCCGUAGCGAUCUACCCUGGCGCGGUGUCGGAUCUCCAAGGUUGGGUUGGUCGUUUAUACUCAGUUUGUCCGUAUAUCGAACAAGCGUGGUGAAAUUUAUCCCGAGCUCGGUGGGAAGCCAAAGACCAUGGUGAGCCUCGAGCCUUGAUGCAUCCGUGUAUUUUUGACGCAGUUUGCUGUUAGUAGCUUUCUCCAUCCUUCGCAUUUAACCUCUGCAUCCAUGUAGGUCUGGGAGAAAUCCCAUUGACGAGGGAGGCACCGUCCGUUGGAGGGGACGCUCUGGUGUUUGGCGAGGAGAAGAAAAGGCAGGGAGUCUAUCCGUUGGGCCACCGGAGCCCAAAAGGGCCAAGGUGGAGGAUUCUAAGGUUGACCCAGCAGUUCCGUCCUCCAAGGCGACGGGAAAUCCCCGUGCUGAAGGUGAGGGAGAAAGCAGCUUCCCGGCAACUCCCGAAGAGCGUUUGGACUUGAUCGAUCCUCGGGCCGUGGGGAUGGAUGUUCCCGGACAGGAGUCUGAUGCCGUCGUGGCCCAACUUCGUGGCGGUGAGGCAAUGGAUGGGGUAUCGAGCACUGCCCUUGAAUUGGCAGGUGGCCGGAGUUCUUCUCGAGCUGGGACGCCCUUCGCAGGCAGUUCGGAGGGGCCUCGAUCUGGGACCCAAGGUGAACAAUGGACGGAGAUUUUGGCUGACCCUGCUAGCCCGUUGAUUGUUGUCGAUUCUCUUCAAGGGGAGAUCCUUCCAUCUUACGAAGUGCAAGAUUCCCCUCGCAAGGAGCCUUCUGAGGCAGGAGCAUUGGUCAAAGGCGGAGAUGCACUCGAGAGGCCGGCGACCGUUCUCGAGGGUAGUUCUGAGGUCGAUGCUUCAUCCAUUUUUGGCGAGAUGGGCAGACUUUGUGAGCGGGUAACUCCUGCUAACCUUGUUCGCCGCUUUGGGCCGCUCCGGCCUUUGUUCUUCUAACUUGUCUCUUUAUAUGGUUUCAGGCAAAAAUGCUUUAUAACCAGGCUCUCGCCCAGUAUCAGGAUGAGGUGAGCCGUUGCGAACGCGAGAAAGCCUAUUUUACCGAGCAGGUUAUUCAUCCCUUGUUUUUACUAUUACUUGAGCCCUUGUGAGAUUUCAUUGCUUCUAACUUCUCGGGCCUUGAUUUUUGUAGUUUGAGAACGAGAAUGCCCUGCUGAGAGGGGAGCUUCGGGCCAGAGAUGCUGAAAUCUCCGAGCUUAGUCGGCACGUGAGCGAGAUGGCUUCCGAGAGGGACAACCUUCAGGGGAGAGUUACCUUGAUCGAGCGUCAACUCCAGGACGCGAAGGAGAAGGAGGAUAGUGACAAGUAUAAGAGCCUCCAUUCCGAACUGGUGGCCGCAUUAGUUCGGAUCAAAGCUGAGGCCGAGGCGCUUGUAUCUUUGCAUGGGGGAGGAGCAGUCAUCACAGAUUCUUGCGUUGAGAGGACGUUUGAGGGGGCUGGCCCGACUUUACCUCGAGCCGCGAAUCGUGCCUGGCCGAGUUCCCGAAAGCAGACCAUUGGGGGCGCAUUGGAAGGCAGCUCGAGUAGUGUUUAAAAAUGGGGGUGGAUCCCCGGAGAGAGGACGCCGUUGAGAAGGGGCCGUCGGGGGACUCGUAAUUGCCUGGGUGCAACCCUUGGGGAGCUAUUGAGGCUGCCGGUUCGGCAAUAGAUUAGGAUCUUUGUUGUUCUUUCCUGUCGAUCUCCCUAUUUGUACAUAGUACUUUUAUUUUGGCAUAUGUAUAAAGAGAAUCCUGCGGCUUUGUUUCCCUUAUUCCCCUUUCUACUUUGAAUUCAGCAAGAAUUGGCGAAAGAACCUUAGACCCGCGAUAUAGCGCCGUGGCCCGUUCGGGCUGGCUUGAGAGUUGUCACACGGCUGGUCGAUGCGGCCUUCAGUGUGAACUGCCGCAAGAGCUCUUGCAAUUUUGCCCAAUUGUUUUGUGUUGAGUCUCCGGGUCGAGUUUUUUCUCGAGCCUACUCGAUCUUCAAUCUCAUGUGCCUGCACGGUCGGGUGAUGAUGGCUCUCAUCCCUUGCCCUUGGGUAUUAGUAUUUUGCCUGUUUUUGGGUUCAGUCUCCAAGUCAUGUUGCAACUCGAGCUUCAAUUGACCCUCAAGCUUUUUCGUGCCUGCAUGGGCGGAUGAUGAUGGCUCUUGCGCCUUGGGUCGAAACGACCUUUUGAGUGUGUGGCCCGGAGACUCGUUUGGUUGGCGACAAUGGAACUUACGCUGUGCCCUUAGGCAUGUGUAGUUAACUAUUUUGGAUCCGGUCUCUGAAUCGGGUUACGACUCGAGCUCAUUUUAAUCCUCAAGUUUUCAAUUUUCAAGUUGGCGACAGUGGCUCUUACGCUCUUUGGUCGUUGAGAACUUUUAGUGUGCGGCCCGGAGGAUCGUUUGGCUGGCGACAGUGGCUCUUACGCUUUUGCCCGUGGGCAUUUUGUAGGCUUUGUUUUCCUCUCGUUAAGGUCCUUUUAAAAUGAUUUUGCCUGACCCAUUGUUGGUUUAGGAAGAACCUCGAUUUCAAGUCGUUAGCGGUGAUGUUCGAGCACCUCGGAAGGUUUUUAGCUCGUAGGUUGGGUAGCUUGAAACCUUGUGAUUUGGAGCUGACAUGGUCGAAGCUUGUUUGCCUGUUGAGGGAAGCCUGUUUUAACCGGUUCUUUUCGAAAUAUAUUCGAAGUAAUGGCGUGCGAUUUUGUUAGUGACAGUCGGGUGUCCCCGAGUCGCGUUAAUUUGGAUGGUGCAGCCGUUUUGACCGUAGUCGUAUGUGUUUGGCCGUAGUCGUUUUAUGCCUGUAGUAAGGUCUUACAAAUUUUCAUGCCUGUUGAGGUCUUACAGUUUGUCAUGCCUGUUGAGGUCUUACAGUUUUUGUUGCUAUGUAGAAUAAAUCUGGUUAUACCGAGUCCGUCCGCUCGGGGUCUUACGGCCUCGGGUUUUCCAGUGUACGACGAUUGGCGACAGUCUCCGAGUCAUCGAGUUUGCUUAGGCUCGAAGGCCGUUAUUCGAGAGCUCGGAGUUACCUUGUUGCGGCUUUAUGAGCCCGGAGUUCCGACCCUGGGGUCGUGCGGGUGCCAAAUUGUUGACGCUAAGUCUCCGAGUAUUUCGGGACGCAUUUGGUGGAGGGAUCCCUGCCGUGAGCAUGCUGAAAUUUCCUUUUUGGAGUAUGCGAUGUUGAAAAGAUAUUCUUUAAUUUCUUGGCAUAAAUACAUGUUGCUGGGUUGCUGUAAGCCUGGCUCAGGCGGACACGGUUCGCUCGACUGUUUGGCCUGGUACAUUAUUUCCUAUUGGAACCUCGUUUGUCAUUUCUCGGGAAAUGCGUGGACGUUGCCUCGUUAAAAACCUUACCGGUAAAAAAGCGUUUCGGGAUAAAAAACUCGGUCGAAGGAAAAGAGUGCGACGUCUGCUCGAGGAUAUUUGCAGGAUUUUGCAAUCGGACGCCCUAGUAGCAAUACCGCUUAAGCAUCGAUACAUUCUAGUUGCUCGGAAGCUGUUCGCCCUCCAUGGUGCCAAGCUUAUAGGAUCCUUUGCCAACUAUCCCAAGGACACGGUAUGGCCCUUCCCAAUUCUGGCCCAGCUUCCGUUCAUUAGGGUUUCGGGUGUUGAGAGUAACCUUCCUUAGGACCAAGUCCCCGAUCCCGAAAUAUCGGAGAUUUGUUCUUCUGUUGUAGUAUCUUUCGAUUUUCUGCUUCUGGACAGCCAUCCGAACCAGCGAGGCUUCUCGUCUUUCGUUGAGCAGCUCGAGGGCCGUUGUCAUGGCCUCGUUGUUCGAGCCCUCAUUAGUGUGCUGGAAUCUGGCGUUUGGUUCCCCAACUUCCACUGGUAUCAGUGCUUCAGCGCCAUAUACUAGAGAGAAAGGUGUUUCCCCGGUGCUCGAUUUAGAAGUUGUCCGAUAUGCCCACAGCACCUCGGGCAGCCGAUUUAGAAGUUGUCUGAUAUGCCCACAGCACCUCGGGCAGCGUUUCCCUCCAUUUUCCCUUGGCGCUCUCCAAUUUCUUUUUCAAGUUGUGAAUGAUGGUUUUAUUCGUCGAUUCGGCCUGGCCGUUUGAACACGGGUGGUAUGGCAUUGACAGGAUUCUCUUGAUUUUGUUGUCUUCAAGGAACUGUGUUACCUUGUUUUCGAUGAACUGCCUCCCGUUAUCGCACGUUAUUUCGGACGGGAUCCCGAACCGGCAUAUGAUGUGAUCCCAUAUAAAAUGGAUGACUUCCUUCUCUCUUAUUUUUUUGAAGGCCUGCGCUUCCACCCAUUUUGAAAAGUAAUCAGUCAUAAAUAGAAUGAAUCUAGCCUUACCUGGCGCCGUCAGCAAAGGGCCGACGAUGUCCAUUCCCCAUUUCAUGAAUGGCCAUGGUGAUAAAACGGAAUGUAGUUGCUCGCCGGGCUGGUGGAUCAUGGGAGCGAACCUCUGACACUUGUCGCAUUUUCCGAUGAAUUCCCUGGCGUCUUUUUCCAUGCUUUCCCAAUAGUUGCCCGCUCUGAUCACCUUUCAGACUAAAGAAUCGACCCCGGAAUGAUUUCCGUAGGUGCCUUCGUGGAUCUCUCGGAGCACAUAAUCUGUGUCGUCCGGUCCCAAGCAUACCGCCAGGGGGUCAUCGAAAGUUCUCCUGUACAGAGCCCUAUUUUCGUCGAGCGAGAACCGGGCUGCUUUGGUUCGCAGGGCUGUCGACUCUUUUGGAUCUGCGGGUAACUUCCCGUCCUUUAGAUAAACGAUAUAUUUAUUUCUCCAAUCCCAUGUCAGGUUGGUGGAGUUAAUCUCCGCGUGACCUUCCUCGACCACAGAUUUGAACAAUUUGACGACAGCUCCGGGGAGCAGGUCUUCUUCUUCUUCAGCAGAGGACCCCAUGUUCGCGAGGGCAUCGGCCUCACUGUUCUGCUCUCGGGGUACAUGGACUAAGGUCCAUUUUUUGAAGCGACGUAAUGUGAUUUGGAUUUUGUCCAAUACCUUUGCAUCCUGUCCUCUUGGGCUUCGUAGCUUCCGUUCACUUGGCUUAGUACGAGGAGCGAAUUGCAUUUUGCCUCGACAGUCUUGGCCCCCAAACUUUUCGCCAAUUCUAAACCUGCAAUCAUAGCCUCAUACUCGCCUUCAUUGUUAGUUAGUUUUGCGGUUUUUAUGGAUUGUCUGAUGAUGCUGCCGACGGGCGGCUUUAGGACUAUACCGAGUCCGGAUCCUCUUAUGUUUGUGGCACCAUCCGUGAACAGGGACCAUACCCCCGAGGACAUACCUGAUUUCAAUAAAAGUUCUUUCUCUACCUCGGGCACGAGGGAUGGCGAGAAAUCGGCCACGAAAUCCGCCAGGAUUUGGGACUUGAUGGCCGUCCGAGGUUGGUACUCGAUGUCAUACCCUCUAAGUUCAAUGGCCCAUUCGGUCAAUCGACCCGAUAACUCAGGUUUAUGCAGUACGCUCCGAAGGGGAUAAGUUGACAGAACACAGAUAUAGUGACAUAAAGUUAAGGCUUCAGCUUGCGCGAGGCACUUAUCAGUGCGAGAGCCAAUUUUUCCAAAUGGGGAUAUCGGGUUUCGGUGUCCCCAAAGGUUCGGCUUACAUAAUAAACAGGAAAUUGCGUACCUUGCUCUUCUCGAACGAGUACACCGCUAUUUCGGACACGGCUAGGUAUAGGUAUAGCGUUUCAUCCUCCUUGGGUGUGUGCAGCAAAGGCGGGCUAGUCAGGUACCGUUUCAGUUUUUCUAGGGCGUGUUGGCAUUCUGGAGUCCAUUCGAAGCUGCUCUUUCUUUUGAGUAGGGAGAAGAAAUGGUGGCUCUUGUAUGAUGAUCUUGAUAUGAAUCUGCCCAGGGUUGCUAUCCUCCCCGUCAGCCGUUGGACGGUUUUUACAUUGUUUACUACCGUGAUCUCUUCGAUGGCUUUUAUUUUAUCGGGGUUGAUCUCGAUCCCCCUGUUUGAAACCAUGAAGCCCAGGAAUUUGCCCGAACCUACUCCGAAGGCACACUUCUCGGGGUUGAGCUUCAUGUUGUAGCUUCUGAGGAUGUUGAAAGUUUCCUGCAAAUGGGUCAAAUGGUCCCGCACGCAUGGAUUUGACUAGCAUAUCAUCAAUAUAUACUUCCAUCGAUUUACCUAUUUGAUGUUCGAACAUUUUAUUAACUAGGCGCUGGUAUGUUGCUCCCGCGGUUUUUAGCCCGAAGGGCAUUACGUUUUAGCAAUAUGUACCAUGCUUCGUGAUGAACGAGGUCUUUUCCCCGUCCUCGGGGUUCAUCUGGAUUUGAUUAUACCCCGAGUAGGCAUCGAGAAAAGUGAGGGUCUNNNNNNNNNNNNNNNNNNNNNNNNNNNNNNNNNNNNNNNNNNNNNNNNNNNNNNNNNNNNNNNNNNNNNNNNNNNNNNNNNNNNNNNNNNNNNNNNNNNNNNNNNNNNNNNNNNNNNNNNNNNNNNNNNNNNNNNNNNNNNNNNNNNNNNNNNNNNNNNNNNNNNNNNNNNNNNNNNNNNNNNNNNNNNNNNNNNNNNNNNNNNNNNNNNNNNNNNNNNNNNNNNNNNNNNNNNNNNNNNNNNNNNNNNNNNNNNNNNNNNNNNNNNNNNNNNNGGUCGUGAUGCCAUCCCUCGUGGGAAACCUUAUCACCUGGUGCAAGGUUGAGGGCACUGCCCUCAUGUUGUGUAUCCAAGGCCUGCCGAGUAAGGCGUUGUAUCUCAUGUCGCCGUCGAUGACCUGGAACUCGAUGUUCUGGAUUGCGCCAGACGUGUUGAUCAGGAGGGUGAUCUCUUUCGCCGAUCAUGUUAAAGCCGUGGAGGAUUCGAGGGACGGGAACGACUUGAUUGAGCAUCCCCAGCUGUUCUACUACUUCUGACCUAAUUAUGUUGGCCGAGCUGCCUGGAUCCACGAGCACGCGCUUUAUCCUGGUGUUGUUUAAGAGAAACGAGAUCACUAGCGCGUCGUUGUGCGGUUCCAUCGUAGCCUCGAGGUCCUCCUCGCUGAAUACAAGGGUAUCUUCGGGCACGCGUUUUCGGGUCGGUCCUUCUCCCAUAGCGGACAUUCUCAUUCGUUUGAACAUGGGUCCUUGGGGAUCGUUGGUUCCCCCAAUAAUCGUGUGGACGUUAUGUUGGAGAACCUUCCCUUCUGUCCGGGUUAGCUCCGGUGGUGUACCGGCCUCUAGGGCUAUCGUGUCCUUUUCUCUGUUGUUUUCGAGGUUCCGGUUUCCCAUUUUACUCGCCGAGCUAGGCGCUCUGUCAUGAAACCGAAGAUCUUAGGCCAGAAAAAGUGUGAGAGAUAAUUUGCGUUUUUGAAAUGAAACCAGCAAGAAAAUAAUCACUAUUAUUUUUAGCCCCACGAUGGGCGCGAAACUGUUUACCGUGAAAAUAGUAACAACAAAUAAAUUUGUAAAUGAAAUUCUAAAAAUACGUGAUCUAUUUUUAUGCUAGUUGUUAGAGCAGUUGAAGCUAAGAGUAUGAAGUUUAAUGAAGAGAUACAAGCUGAAACGGGGCAGUAAUCAAACCCAGGGGCUUGUCGCCCGAGCCUCGGACUGGUUGAUGAAGGAGCCUCGGGGCCGAUAUUCAGCUCGGUCUCGAGCUAUCGGGGGUAGUCGGGAUGGGAUAACAGUUGAGAUAUGAUCAAGCAAGGCUCUUUAUGGCCAAUACCAAACAAUAAAUGAAGAACAAGUAUGAAAGCAAUAAAUGUUAAGAGUGACCUCGAGCUAAUAAGAACGAACAAGUUAGAGAGAAGAGAGGGAGAAAUAUUAUUGAUCUUGUGGAGAAUAGUUGGAGCAACGUCAGCCGAGAGACUACAAAGUAAUGGGGAUCCCCUUUAUAUAGGAGGGAAAUCCGCUAUAGUACAAAAUGUGGUAACUGUGAAGGCGUGGAGAUAGGAUGGCUGGAUAUGACAUCUCGAAAUAGGCCCCGGAUAGGUCAGCCUUGUCAGAUUAAGCCUUGUGCCUUGGGAACUCCCCUCUUGCCUGUUGUAGCCCGCUAUAGCUGUUGGAACGCGAUGCCCUCCGGACCGAUACCUGACCACCCCCGAGGGUGAGUCUCGACCUUGGCUUCGAGCUUCGAGGAGCAUGACCGCGAGAUGACUCUAUGAUGGGGAAAUUGGGCCCCUGGAUUCGCCGUAUACACAUUUACAAAGCAAUUAGAUUUGACAUUUUAUUAGCUUAACUAACAUUGCUUCAGCUUUACUAUUCUGAGUCUAACAUCCUCUAUUGUGUAGUUAGCUGAGUGACUAUAUAGCUGGGUCAAGUAACUAUUGGAUGUCAGAAAAUCACCUUAUGUGGUAUAAAAUUAAAUGCGUUUCUUGAGCACUCAAGUAAUGUUGGAGGAUAGCAUUCAUCCAACAUACUACGAUUCCAGGAGUUAGCUUAAUAAAUGAUAAUUCUCUUGCAAGGGAAAAUUAGAGUUCAAACCCCUUUUCUCCAAUUGAAAAAAAUAGUAUCAGCAUAUUGGAUGUGUGGUCGCUUUUUGCAUAAUUUGUUUUUCAGGUGCCAAUACACUUUCCUAUAUUCAUUCUGUUGGAAUUUCACAGGUUAUGCACAAAAUGGAGUAAAUGAAGACGCACUCAAGUUACUGGUUGAGAUGCUUAGGGUGUCUCUUCGACCAGAUCAGUCUUCAUGUGCUUCAGUUCUUUCUGCAUGUGCUGCUCUUGCAUCUCCUUUAGUUGGUAGACAAACUCAUGCAGUUGUCAUUAAAUUUGGGGUAGACUCCGUCGUCUCCAUAUGUAAUGCUCUAAUUACUAUGUAUAGCAAAUGUGGCAGCAUUUUUGAGUGUGAGUUGACUUUUGAAUUAAUAACAAGUCCAGACCUUGUCUCUUGGAAUACUAUAAUUGCUGCCUUUGCCCAACACGGGUUGUAUGCGAAAGCAGUUGCAUAUUUGGAGCAAAUGGUUCUCAGAGGAUGUGAACCAGAUGGUAUAACAUUCCUCAGCUUAUUAUCUGCUUGUGCCCAUGCAGGGUUGGUUAGUGAGAGUAUUUCUUGGUUUGAUUCAAUGGUAAAAAACUACAAAAUUACUCCAAGACCGGAGCAUUAUGCUUGUUUAAUUGAUAUACUUGGCCGAGCUGGUCAGCUGGACAAGGCUUACAACAUUAUACAAGAGAUGCCUUUUAAAGCUGAUUUAGCUGCUUGGGGUGCCCUUCUUGCUGGCUGUCGCGCUCAUUCCAAUGUAGAACUAGGGCAGCUUUCUGGAGAGAAAGUCAUGGAAUUAGGUGGUGAUAGUUCAGGGCCUUACAUUAUGUUAUCUAAUAUAUAUGCUGAAGCAGGUAUGUGGGAGGAGGUUACAAGAGUGAGAGGCUUGAUGAAAGAACAUGGCAUCAAAAAGAAACCGGCAUAUAGUUGGACGGAGAUUGAAAAUAAGGUACAUUAUUUUCUGGGAGGGGAUAUCUCUCAUCCAAAUAUUCAAGAAAUCCGUACAGCACUCAAGCAGAUGAACUUGCAGAUGAAAUUCCAGGAAAAAGUUCUGGAUUUCACCGACUUUUACUUCCUGGAUGAACUGGAAUGCGCAUGUAAUUAACAUAUCUAUGUCCUGUAAACUAUUCAAAUUUGGCAAAAUUUGGACUCUCCCUGAAAGUUCAGGAUCACUACUGCCUGAAAUGCUCAUUUAGCACCAAGUUCUUGUCCAAGCAAAAUGAAACUUUUCCACCAGGAGCACAAUGAUCGUCUUUAAAUAGGCAGAAGCAGAAUGGUCAUUCUUAUGCGAUUUCUGGGGAACUGAUAGACUUUGGCGAUCAGAGUUUAGACCAUGGAAGCUGGAAGAUUAUGAAAGGUAAUUGUGAGCUGAUCUCCCAUUUUUCAUAUUGUUUGGUAAUAAUCGCUCUUGGAUGAUACAGAAAUGUAGGGGCUGUAGUCCAUGAAUAGAGGAAACAACAACAAUAAACCCAGUGUAAUCCCACAGGUGGGAGAAAGAAGGAGGCGGAUAAAAAGGGAGGCGGCGAUUUGUCAUUUGAACACUGCACUAUUCAGUAACAAUAUUUCUCUAACUAUAACCUUAGAGAAAGGUUUUAUACUCUCUCCUGAACCACUCCUCCCCUCCUCCUCCGACAAUAAUUACUAUUAUUACCUUUCCUUUAUCUCAAUUUACAGUAUGUUAUUUUUUUAAUGAAGGUAAUAAGACUGUUUGAUUUAUCAAUUUACAGGACGAAAGAAAACGAGUUUACACAUUUAUAUUUGGAAUCAUAAUUAGGAACCUGAAAUUCAAAAUUCAAGCUGUGAAAGUGAAAACUAUUGUAGUCAAGUAAUCGACUUCAAUUGUUUUCAACCCCUCCCUGCUCUAAUAAAAUUAUCUCAAUUUUCAAGCUAUUUGCACCGUCAUGAGUUUAUUGAAAUUUUGAGUAUUGAGAAUGAUAUUUGUAGUGGUUAAAUGGAGUAUUAGGGGAAGGAAAGCAAUUUGGAUUUCUGAUAAAUACAAAACUGUUGAACAACGAAAAGGAUUUAUUAGAUGCAGGAGCUGCACAAAGGUGGAGGCUAAUAAAUCGUUUUCUUUAGGCCGCAAAAUUUUGAGUUCUCCAAAAAUUUAAUAGUGAAUUUUAUUAUUUUUAUUGAAGUUUGUAGGAAAAAGGUACAAAAUCUUUUUAAAAAAAUAGAAGAAAGAAAACAGUAGAAAUAUUUUAGAACCUUGAAUAAACUACUUAACCAUAUUAAUAACUAAUUUUUUGUACGACAACAUCUAAGGUAAUGAUAUAUUCAAAUAUAUCACUUCGAACGUAUUUGGGCUUAUAACUGUAUACAGUCGAAAUCAGGUAUGACCGAUUUUUCGGACUCGAAGGGUCACCUUAAGCCCGAGUUCGGGAUGGAUCGAGUUUGAGCUCGAGGGACAAAGAUCGAGCUCAACGAAAGAGUACGAGGCUCGAAGAAUCUAGUGUUCGAGAAAUGUCAGAGCCUAAUGUGAUUGGCCUCGAGAUAAUGCCGUUAUGGAUUUGUAACAGAAUGAGCAAGAUUACCAUGGCGUAAAUCCCGGAAUAGAUUUGUACGAAUCCGUACUACGCAGUUAGACAACUGUCCCAAUAAUAUUCUUUACUGUAAAUAGAAAUGUACCUUAUUUAGGGUUCCCCUAUUAUAUAAAGGGGACCCCAAUUAUUUGUAAAGAUCAUCUAAUCAUUGGCAAAGAAUAUACUCCCUUACUUUUUCGUUCAUUGUUUAUUAGAAUUGUUCUUUAGCUUUAUUAUUCUUGCUUUAUCGUUCUUGAUCCAUCUCGAGGUCACUUUGGCUCGAGGUUGAGACUGGUCUAAAUUCUGGUUUGAUUUUACUUGUUCCUUUCAUUUAUACUUUAGAUUUCUUGGUUAUUAAUUGGUAUCGAACUAAUCACGUAUCUUUAAAAUCAUAAAUCAAAUUUAAUUGUUACUCGUAUUUUUGAGGUAAACAGUUUGGCGCCCACCGUGGGGCUAAAGAUAAUAGUGAUUAUUUCAGUGCCGAUUCUCAUAACACACAUUAUUUUUACACUUGUUCUUGUCAAGAAUUUUUGAUUCUCAGGCUAAAACAUGUCAAACUUGCAAAAUGCACAUGUAUACGACAACGAUGGUCUUGGAUUUCAUGGAGAAAAUAACAAUGUAGGGGUCGGUGUACCACCAAUAAACCCUAGGAAAGUGCCAAAUAUGGAACCGGUUGAUGUUAGUUCACACAUUGCUUUGAACGCAGAUUUAGGCACAAACCACGUGGGAAGUGUACGCAGGGAAGCCCGAUCUGGUGGCCAAGGAACGCAGGGUAUAAGAGAUGGGGGAGUUAGCCUCCAAGUGAUAUUCGAAAUGCUUCAAGCUCAACAGAUUGCCAUCGAUCAACUUCAAAGUCAGAAUAAAACUUCGAGUAUNNNNNNNNNNNNNNNNNNNNNNNNNNNNNNNNNNNNNNNNNNNNNNNNNNNNNNNNNNNNNNNNNNNNNNNNNNNNNNNNNNNNNNNNNNNNNNNNNNNNNNNNNNNNNNNNNNNNNNNNNNNNNNNNNNNNNNNNNNNNNNNNNNNNNNNNNNNNNNNNNNNNNNNNNNNNNNNNNNNNNNNNNNNNNNNNNNNNNNNNNNNNNNNNNNNNNNNNNNNNNNNNNNNNNNNNNNNNNNNNNNNNNNNNNNNNNNNNNNNNNNNNNNNNNNNNNNNNNNNNNNNNNNNNNNNNNNNNNNNNNNNNNNNNNNNNNNNNNNNNNNNNNNNNNNNNNNNNNNNNNNNNNNNNNNNNNNNNNNNNNNNNNNNNNNNNNNNNNNNNNNNNNNNNNNNNNNNNNNNNNNNNNNNNNNNNNNNNNNNNNNNNNNNNNNNNNNNNNNNNNNNNNNNNNNNNNNNNNNNNNNNNNNNNNNNNNNNNNNNNNNNNNNNNNNNNNNNNNNNNNNNNNNNNNNNNNNNNNNNNNNNNNNNNNNNNNNNNNNNNNNNNNNNNNNNNNNNNNNNNNNNNNNNNNNNNNNNNNNNNNNNNNNNNNNNNNNNNNNNNNNNNNNNNNNNNNNNNNNNNNNNNNNNNNNNNNNNNNNNNNNNNNNNNNNNNNNNNNNNNNNNNNNNNNNNNNNNNNNNNNNNNNNNNNNNNNNNNNNNNNNNNNNNNNNNNNNNNNNNNNNNNNNNNNNNNNNNNNNNNNNNNNNNNNNNNNNNNNNNNNNNNNNNNNNNNNNNNNNNNNNNNNNNNNNNNNNNNNNNNNNNNNNNNNNNNNNNNNNNNNNNNNNNNNNNNNNNNNNNNNNNNNNNNNNNNNNNNNNNNNNNNNNNNNNNNNNNNNNNNNNNNNNNNNNNNNNNNNNNNNNNNNNNNNNNNNNNNNNNNNNNNNNNNNNNNNNNNNNNNNNNNNNNNNNNNNNNNNNNNNNNNNNNNNNNNNNNNNNNNNNNNNNNNNNNNNNNNNNNNNNNNNNNNNNNNNNNNNNNNNNNNNNNNNNNNNNNNNNNNNNNNNNNNNNNNNNNNNNNNNNNNNNNNNNNNNNNNNNNNNNNNNNNNNNNNNNNNNNNNNNNNNNNNNNNNNNNNNNNNNNNNNNNNNNNNNNNNNNNNNNNNNNNNNNNNNNNNNNNNNNNNNNNNNNNNNNNNNNNNNNNNNNNNNNNNNNNNNNNNNNNNNNNNNNNNNNNNNNNNNNNNNNNNNNNNNNNNACCGGGGGCACCUCGGAUCUUGAAAGGUUUGGAUGCCAAAAAGCUCAUACAAAAGUCGUUCCCUCCGAGUGCAGCUCUGAAGCCCAUUCCUAAAAUGUUUCGCAUGCUCGUUAUACCCAAAUACAAGGGACAACUGACCCUAAUGAGCAUAUUACUUUGUAUACUUGCGGGAUUAAAGAAAAUGAUUUAAAUGAUGAUGAGAUCGAAUCGGUAUUAUUGAAGAAAUUUGGGGAAGCUUUGUAAAAGGGAGCCAUGAUUUGGUAUCACAACUCGACCCCGAACUCUAUCGAUUCGUUUGCUAUGUUAGCAGACCCCUUCGUAAAAGCACAUGCAAGGGACAUAAAGGUGGCAACGAGGAAAUCAGAUGUUUUUAAGAUAAGACAGAGGAACAAUGAGAUGUUAAAGGAGUUCGUAUCCUAGUUUCAAAUGGAGCGAAUGGAAUUACCACCGGUCUCGGAUGACUGGACAGUACAGGCUUUUAUGCAGGGUUUGAACGAGCGGAGUUCGAUCGUGUCUCGACAAUUAAAGCAGAAUCUUAUCGAGUAUCCAGCUGUGACGUGAUCAGGCGUGCAUAAUCGUAACCAAUCGAAGAUCAAGGUCGAGGAAGACCAGUUGGGAGCCCCCUCGGGUUCAGUUCAUCCUAAUAGAUUGACAACUUAGCCCCCGAGGGAUACAGACAGGGAAUCAAGAUCGAACAAAGAAUGGUAUCAGUCAUAUGUAGAUCGGAAAAACAACGGCUCAGGGCGUAAUGAUCCUCAGAAUGAUUGAAGAAAUGAUCGAGGUCAAAAAUCUCGGGGACUCAUGAGUAAGAAUAGGUUCGAUAAACAUACCGACUAAGCGGAAGCACCUCGAUUAUUGGAGUAUAAUUUCAGUGUAGAUGCAUCGGGGAUCGUGUCAACUAUUGGAAGAAUCAAAGACACCAGGUGGCCCAGGCCUAUUCAAAACGAUCCUUCUCAAAGAAAUCCAAAUUUGAUGUAUAAGUAUCAUGGCACACAUGGCCAUAAAAUUGAAGACUGCAGGCGGCUAAAGGAGGAAGUGGCUCGGUUGUUCAACUAGGGUCAUCUUCGAGAAUUUCUCAAUGAUCGAGCCAAGAACCACUUAAAGGAAAGAGAUACAAACAGAAAAAUGAGCAGGAAGAACCGCAACAUGUAAUCCAUAUGAUCGUUAGCGGUGUCGAUGUUCCACAAGGGCAUGUGUUCAAACGCACCAAUGUGUCGAUCACCAGAGAAAAACAGACUCGAAGAUAUGUGUCCAAGGUCAUCCUACCAUUCAAUGACGAAGAAGCGGAAGGCAUAUCUCAGCCACACAAUGACACCCUGCUAAUUUCUAUUUUGUUAAAUAAAAUUCAAGUGUAACGUAUUCUAGUAGAUACAGGUAGCUCAGCAAACAUAAUCAAAUCGAGGGUCGUAGAGCAGCUCAGUCUACAAGAUCAAAUUGUACCUGCAUCCCGAGUCCUAAAUGGCUUCGACAUGGCAAUCCUACCAGUGAACGUGGCCGGAACCAUCCAAGGUACGAAAUUCCAUGUCAUCGAAGGCGACAUGAGGUCUAAUGCACUUCUUGGGAGGCCAUGGAUCCACAACAUGAGGGAUGUACCUUCAACCCUUCAUCAGAUGAUGAAAUUCCCAACAGUAUAUGGCGUGAAAAUGGUCUACAGAGAACAACAUGCUGCAAAGUAAAUGUUUGCAGUCGAUGAAGUGACACCGAUUCCAGUGCCUUCGACUUUGGAAAAUCGGGGGCCAAAGAUAAAUAGGCGGCCAAAUAGCAAUCACCGAUUCCAGUCCCGAUCGAGCCGGAGGAACAUGUAGUCGAAGAAGAAGAAGAUGGUUUCCUUACUCCUCGAACUUUCGUUGUUCCCAAAGAGUCAGACGCAACCAAGUCAACGGUCGAGGAACUAGAACAUGUCAUACUAAUUGAGUACAUGCCCGAGAAAAAGGUAUACUGGGAACGGGAUUAACCCCCAAACUUAGGAAAAAACUCAUUCAAUUUCUUAUCGAUAAUAUGGAUUGUUUUGCUUGGUCCCAUUUAGACAUGACAAGGAUCCCGUCGGAAAUAACAAUGCACCGGCUAAGCAUCGACCCCAGGUUAAAACUAGUAAAGCAAAAAAGGAGACCCUAGUCCGAGGUGAAGCAUGCAUUCAUAAAGGAUGAGGUAACCAAGCUUCUUAAAAUAUGGUCUAUUCGGGAGGUAAAAUACCCCGGGUGGUUAGCUAACGUAGUUGUAGUUCCUAAAAAGGGAAACAAACUUAGAAUGUGCGUAGAUUAUAAAGAUUUAAACAAAGCAUGCCCUAAAGACUCUUUUCCACUGCCUAACAUUGAUCGCAUAAUCGACUCCAGAACCAGCCAUGAGAUCCUUACCUUUCUCAAUGCCUACUCCGGGUACAAUCAGAUUCAGAUGAACCCAAAGGACCAGGAGAAGACCUCAUUUAUCACUAAGUUUGGAACUUAUUGUUACAACGUAAUGCCCUUCGGGCUAAAAAAUGCAAGAGCUACAUACCAACGCCUAGUUAACAAAAUGUUCGAGGAACAGAUAGGUAAAUCAAUGGAAGUUUACAUUGACGAUCUGUUGGUUAAGUCCCCGCGCGCAGAUGACCAUUUAACUCAUUUUCAGGAAACAUUCAAUAUCUUGAGGAAGUACAACAUGAAGCUUAACCCGAAAAAGUGUGCCUUCAGAGUUGGCUAGGGAAAGUUCCUCGGCUUCAUGGUAUCUAAUCGGGGAAUCGAGAUCAACCCCGAUAAUAUCAAGGACAUCGAAGAUAUCACAAUCAUGGAUAGUGUGAAAGUCGUGAAAAGGCUAACAGGACGAAUAACCGCCUUGGGUUAAUUCAUUUCGAGGUCAUCAGAUCGAAGUCAUAGGUUCUUUUUCUUGCUCAAAAAGAAGAAGGAUUUCGCAUGGACCCUGGAAUGCCAACAAGCGUUAGAAGAAUUGAAGCGAUACUUAUCGAGCCCACCUCUACUUCACACCCCGAAGGUAGAUGAAAAGCUUUACUUAUAUUUGGCAGUAUCAGAGAUAGCGGUAAGUGGGGUACUAGUUCGAGAAGAACAAGGUAUGCAAUUCCCUGUUUAUUAUGUAAGACUCUAGAGAUGCUAAAACUAGAUACCCUCACUUAGAAAAAUUAGAACUUGCAUUAAUACGCGCAUCUAGAAAGUUAAAGCCAUAUUUCCAAUGUCACCCAAUAUGUGUGUUAACUAUUUAUCCUCUCCGAAAUGUUUUGCAUAAGCCCGAACUAUCAGGCCGAUUGGCCAAAUAAGCAGUCAAACUCAGCGGGUACGAUAUUGAAUAUCAACCCCGAACGACCAUCAAGUCUCAAAUCUUGGCUGACUUCGUGGCCAAUUUUAUGCCGACCCUCGUACCCGAAGUGGAGAAAGAACUUUUGCUAAUAUCGGUACAUCAUCGGGGGUAUGGACCCUUUUCACGGACGGUGCCUCGAAUGUGAAAGGGUCCGGGCUCGACAUUGUUUUGAAGCCAUCAACAGGUAGUACUAUUAGACAAUCUAUCAAACUUCUAGGUUGACUAAUAAUGAGGCAGAGUAUGAGGCCAUGAUUGCAGGUCUCGAGCUAGCUAAAAACUUGGAGGCAGAAGUCAUUGAAGCCAAGUGUGAUUCACUGUUAGUGGUUAAUCAAGUAAAUAGAAGUUUUGAAGUUCGAGAGGAUAGGAUGCAACGGUACUUGGAUAAUCUACAUGUAACUUUGCACCGCUUCAAGGAGUGGACUCUAGAUUAUGUGCCUCGAGAACAAAAUAGUGAGGCCGAUGCACUUGCUAAUUUGGGAUCAUCGAUUGAAGAAGAUGAUAUCGUCCCCGAGACUGUCAUCCAAUUAUCGAAGUCUGUGAUUGAAGAGGGUCAUGCCGAGAUAAAUUCUACAAGUUUGACUUGGGAUUAGAGGAAUAAGAACAUCGACUAUUUGAAAAAUGUAAACUCCCAUUGGACCACAAAGAGUCAAGGGCUCUAUGAACCAAGGCUGCUAGGUUCACAUUAGAUGAAGAUGGAACAUUGUACAGGAGGACAUUCGAUGGACCAUUAGCGUUAUGUUUAGGGCAGGGGGACACCGAUUAUGUUAUACGAGAAAUCUAUGAAGGUACUUGUUGUAAGGCCCCAUGAAAUUUCUACUCAAAAACCCGAGUCUUGCAGUGCCAAGUUAGGAUCAUGUGUUAGAAAUCCAUAAAAUUCUUCAAAGUUAAAGAAUAGUGUUUUCUAGAAAAGUGCAAUUCUGCAGUUAACUCUGUGGUCGCAUAAUAGCUAUGCAGACCACAUAGUCACCGCAGAGUCAGGCAGUGUGAAGGUUAAUUUUGAGGUCAACUAUGCGGCCAAAUAUGCGAUCUCAUAAUCGAUAUGCGGGUCGCAUAGUUGUCGCAUAAUCCCCUUGGAACUUUUGCGAUGAGCAGUUCUGUGAUGCAUUUUGCGACCAUAGAACGGGUAUGCGGACCGCAUUCUGGUCGCAUGCCCAGGCAAAUUGUUCAGGUUUUUGGGAGCAUUUUUGCGGUCCAUUCUGCGGGCCGCGUGUCAAUUUUGCGAUCUCAUAUGCGAUCGCAGAUCUGAGUCGGGGCUCCAGAUUUCUAAAUUUUAAACCCGACCCCCCGGUCAUUAUAUUCUGUGCAAUAGUUCAUUUUGAGCCUAUUUUCUAGUGCUUUUAGAGUGAGAAGGAGGGUCUAAGAGAGGAAAAGUGUCUUUUAUCAAAAGUGCUCCACAAAUCCUUGUUAAAAACAUUGAAGAUAAUCAAGUGGAGCACCAAAACCUUCAUCCUAGGAUAUUGAAAUGUGAAUAUUCUGGAACGUUAUAGGAUUAAGGAAAGCUCAAUUGAGGUAUGUAUGGCUAAAAACCCCUCUUUUAGAAAUCGAGCUCCGUCGGUGUUUGCGUAAUUAUGGUAAGAUUAAUUAGAGUUGAAUGGUUGUAUGGAUUGUUGUUUCACAUGAAUUUGGGGUUGCAACUUUAUAUGCGUGAAAGAUGUGUCUCAAUAUGAUAAAUGUGCUAUUCUUGUUAACUUGAAAGGGUGUCAGGGAUAUGAAUCAUGUACUGAAAUGCUUAGACCUUAAAUUGAGAUUGAAGCUGUAUAUGUUGUGUCCUCUAUGUGAAGUCUCAUCUACAUUUAUAACUUUAUUUGCUCUUGUAUGCACAUAUUAUCCUAAAUUACCAUAUGUUGCCUAGUGCCAAAUAUAUGACGUGAUAGUUGUGGCCCCAAGUGCCAAUGAAAUGAUAUAUGUGAUACAAAGAUUGAAUUGAGAUGAUUGAUGGAAAAGGGAAACGCCUUGGUAAGGCAUCCUAGCCGAUCGGGCCGAGAUCGGACGCCAUGCCGCACACAUUGUGGUAUUGUGUUGAUAUUGAACCCCGGAUAAAAAGGGGAAAAUGAGAUUGUGAUUGAAGUGUAUGUCUCAAAUAAGGCAACCUAGCCGAUCGGGUCGAUAUCGGACUCCGCUCAAGCUAGCGGUGGUAUAGCGAAAAAUGAUGAACAGUAUGAAAUGCCCCAAACUAAAGGCUAUGGAAACAUAAUGCGAAAAUUGUAUGAUUCUUCUACAUUGAUAAUGUUGUGAUCGUUUAAAGCUUUUGAGUUAUACUUGUGCUUUCCUUAUGUUUGUAUGAAAGUUCUUUCUAACUAGAUGGUGUUUAGUUAUACAUACUAGUACUAUUCCAUGGUACUAACGUCCCUUUUGCCGAGGGCACUACAUUUCUAAAUGAAUGUAGGUGGCUCCAUUGCGGAUAAUGUCGAUCGCGUGAAGCGGAGUACCUUCUUCUCAAAGUCUUGGGGAGCUCCUUUCUCCUUCAAGGGGUUAUAUUGCACAUCUUUUGUUGUGGACUUCCACUUUUGAGGUAUAGCCGGGGCCUUGUUGACGGCAUUGUCAUACUUGUCUUUUACAUCUUUAGAGGCUCCGUAGACAUAUGUGUGGGUUAUGUACGGGUGUUGGAUGGGCCUGCGAACUAUGUUGUAAUUCUAACUCUUGCUUCUCUAAAGUGUAAUUGUAUGGAUUCUUGGAACUUAACUACAGCUUAACGUUAUGAUAUAAAAUGAACUAACAACAUUGAAUGUACUACCUUUCCUCAUUUAAAUAAAUGAAAGCAUGGUUUCCUUAUUCAUAUUGAGUUGGGUAGGAAGUGUUUGAUAAGGCUUGCUCAGUUGGGUUCACUCGAUCCGGUUGCGCCUCCUGAGGUUGGGGCGUGACACUUAUGGGAAUCACUCCGACGCUGAAUCUUUGGUCCGCAAAAUUAUUAGAGCAGGGUAUUACUGGGAUAGUAUGGAAAAAGACACUAAGGAGUUUGUUAAAAAGUGUGAUAAAUGUCAAAGUUUUGCACCAAUGAUUCAUCAGCCCGGAGAGUAACUACACUCAGUCCUGUCCCUAUGGCCUUUCAUAAAAUGGGAAAUGGACAUAGUCGGACCUCUACCAACGACACCAGGUAAAGAUAAAUUUAUUUUGUUUAUGACUAACUACUUUUCUAAGUGGGUGGAAGCACAUGCCUUCGAGAAGGUCAGAGAAAAAGAAGUUAUCGACUUCAUUUGGGACCACAUCGUGUGUCGAUUCAGGAUACCCGCCGAAAUUGUGUACGACAAUGGCAAGCAAUUCAUCGGCAACAAGGUAACGGAGUUCCUCGAAGCACACAAAAUAAAAAAGGAUUUUAUCAACACCAUAUCAUCCAACCGAAAACGGACAUGCCGAGUCAACAAACAAAACUAUCAUUCAAAACCUAAAGAAAAGGUUGGACGAUGCAAAAGGAAAAUGGAGAGAAGGUCUACCCGAGGUCCUUUAGGCAUAUCGAACGACAUCGAAGUCCAGCACAGGGGCUACUCCGUUCUCUUUAGUACAUGGCUCUGAGGCCUUAAUCCUGGUCGAAGUUGGAGAACCAGCGCCAGGUUUUGACAUGCAUCGGAGGAGUCAAAUCACGAGGCUAUGACUACUAGCCUCGGGCUAUUGGAUAAAAAUGAGAAGCAUCACUUGUUCGGAUGGCUGCACGAAGCAAAGAGUUGAGAGAUACUAUAAUAGAAGGACCAACCUUCGACACUUCGGAAUCGGGUACUUAGUUCUAUGGAAAGUCACCCUCAAUACUCGAGACCCGAAUGAAGGGAAACUAGGCCCGAAUUGGGAAGGACCGUACCGAGUCAUCGCAGUUGUCGGCAAAAGAUCUUACAAACUUGGCAUGAUGGAAGGCGAGCAAUUGUCAAACAAUUGGAAUGUAUCAUUACUCAAACGAUAUCACUGCUAAGAUAUGGCCUUCUCCUUUUUUCAUUUAAAUUUAAGGCUAACUCAUUGCAGGUGUUCGAUCGAUGCUAAAGGCACCUUUCCACACAAAGACCUUGGGUUUUAAAGCACGCAUUGGACUCUUUUUCCCAUAGAUCGGAUUUUGUCCCAAAUGGGUUUUACCGGCGAGGUUUUUAACGAUGCAACAACUAUGUGCUACCUAAGGAGAACUCAACAGUAUCCAAGGCUUCUUGUCAAUCAACCUCAAAUACUGGGGGGCAUCACCCUAGGAGAUUAUAUUUUUGAGGAAAAUACUUCACGCUAAAGAGGGCCUCGAUAGGAAAACUUUGUAAUGGACCAAACGGUUAGAUGAACCUUGUACAUAUAGAAUAGUCGAGCCCCGACGGCAAAACAUAUAGGCAUGUAUCAAAUUAUUCAAAGAAGCAUUCUUUCUAUAUCAAAAAACACUUUGUGUCUUAAAGAAAUUUGCUACUAUACGAACAUCAUACUUGUGAUUUUGCAGGAAACAGCUCAAGGGCCAAUACACGAAUACACCUCGAAUACUCGAGGACUUUUAUCGAAAGUCAACACAUUCGAGUCAUCUAAACUCAAAUUCAUAAGACCUCAAAGAGGCAUCCCCUUGACAUAAAGGCCAAGGCCAUCAUACUCAGGUACUAACCUUUUGAACAAGUUCAAAGGGUUAUCGGGAAACAAGUCCAAGAGACAUACCCGAAGGUUACGACCAUAUUAAAGGCUACAGUCGAAUAGUGCAGUUCGAAGACGUCCGACUUCCGCCAUAAGUUAAAGGCCUUCAAAUACUUUUAAAAACCGGUUAAACUAGGCUACCCUAGGCAAAAGCAAAAAUGGCUUUGAUAAAAUCAGCCCUCGAAUAAUUUAAAGGCUUCGAUAAAAUCAGUCUUCGAAAAAAGCCUCAAGAGGUAUUCAAUUAUCGUAACACAAACGAAUUACAAAUGAGGUUCCGAUUGAUCGAACCUUUGAAAAACCCAACAGGUACAAAGGACACAUGCUAAGGCAUAAAGAAAUUUUAACUAAGUCUUUUAGCCGAAAAGAGGGAAAAAUUAUAGCCGUCUUAGAGGCUGAAGGGUCCAACUUAAAGAGCCUAUGCGAAGACCUAAAAAGGCCUCAGGCCCAAUAUAAAAGUGCCUAAGGGCCAAUGCAUGCGGAGUUCAAGACCUUACUCUCACUUAACUCGGACUCAAGAGUCCCAUCGUCCCAAGCUCGCAUCAAAUCUAUUUAAACAUAGCUCAAGGAUUAAUAAAAACCUUAAGAGGUAUUCUAUUAUAAGUUCGAAGAUCUCCCAUUGAUUACUAAAAAACCUAAGGGUUGUUAUAUUCAGAAUCCGAGCCAAUGUUCACUUGAUCAUUGAUGUUAUCAAAUUUUUUCACAAGAUAAAGACAAUGCAGAAUUCAAUACAAAUUAGAGAUGAAGCAAAUGAAUUCUUUAUAUUUAUAAAAGAUGUUUACAAAAGAUAUUUACAACACCCACGAGGGGCCCUUAGACAAAAACAAAGAAACAAAAAAGAACCUAAUCUAUUUCGAGGCCACGUCCUCGGGAGCCACAUCCUCGGGAGCUGCAUUCUCGGGAGCCACAUCUUCGGGAAUCUCCUCCCCGAGGAAUUCGUCCUCAUCUCCCUUACUCUCGGAGCCACUAGCAGAAUCCCCAUCAUCAGAGAGUAAAACGGCAGCCUCUUCCUCCAAAGUUUUUGCUCUUUCAAUAUGAGCUGAGAGGUCGAAGCCACGAGCGUGCACCUCCUCGAGAGUUUCUCUCCAGGAUUGUCACCUGGCAUGGUCAAGAGCACAUGAUAACUUAACCUCAGCCACAAUGGAUAUCUCUUGUGCCCGAAUGUUAGCAGCUUCGGCGUUAGCUCGGUACGAGGACACAAAUGCCUCUGUCUUAAAUUUGGCCUCCGCAAGCUCGGUGGCUGAGUUAGAUUUGAGCUCCUCGACUUUGCGGCUCCAGGCCAAGCUUUCCUCCUUUGUAUUUUGAAGCUGGCGCUCAAUUGAAGUCAGUUGUUCCCGAAGCGUAUCUUUCUCAGAGGUGAGACAGGCCAUGUGUUUCUUCCACCUUAGGGUCUCGGCCUCUUUCAUCUUGAGCUCUUCUUGAAGCUGCUCCACCAGCUCGCCCUUCAGCUAGGCCUGCAAAGUUGAGGUGUUAGUCACUUAAUCGGAUUAAUGCAUAACAAAUCCUCAAAUGCUAUAUUACCUUUUCAAUAAGCUCGGUCUAUUCUUGAUGAGCCUUCUCCAACUCGAUUAGGAGAUCCCUGACCCCCUCCUCUUUCUGUACAUAAAGGCACUUAAGGCCAUCCCUCUCUUCCACCAGCUUCUUGAGUUCGGCUUCACAUCGGGCUAUCUUGGCUCGAGAUUUGGAAAAUACUUAUCGGUGAAGCGACACGGCCUUCACGUCAAAGAAAAGGAGUAAGACUUAGAAAGAUGGGAAUUAAACUCGAGCGUAACUAUGAAGACAAAAACUUACUUGUUUAAGAAGCCUUUGGGUCUCAUCAAAAAUAAAUAAGGUGUCAAGAUUGGGACCAUCCUCGAUCCCUGCAAGACACUCCCAAAAAAUGUCACUCCCUUCAUGGGUCGUUCACACAUUAGUGCCCUCAUGGCCUGGGCAUCUCAGAAUUGCCCUUUGGUGAACACCGGGCCCGGUGGUGAAUCAUCUACAUUGAUUACCCCAAGUGAUUCACUUGGGAUAUUAUCCUGUAUUUGAAGGGCCUCGAAAUUAGGCUCUUCGAGCUCGCCCACCAAGUAUCUCCCGGGAUGAGGCACACUUUUUCCACCUGAUGGUUCGGGAACUUUGUUCGAGCUCCCCUUUGAAAUCUCUUCGGUCGAGAUUGAACCGCACCUCCCACCAUCGGUUCAACAGCCUUUGAAGCGUCAGUGCUUCCUCUUUUCCAAGCUACCAACAGGCAGUCAUCAUCUUCUCCCUUUUCAUCCUCAUCCCGAAGGCGUUGGGCCAUUUCUAAAGAUAGGGCCACGGUAUCGGCCUUAGGCUUUCGAGCCUUGCUUUUCUUUGGCUUCGGGGAAUUUGCAGGCGAUCCCCUUUUCCUUUUCUUUUCCUUGGUGGGCUUUGAGAUUUCUUCUUCACCGAACGGGAGAGGCCGUAUAACGGCGGCGUCUCCUAAGCCUGCAUAAGGAUAAAGUGAGUAUUUCACCAAGAAACCUCAGUAUGUGAAUAAGAAAACUCACCAUGGUUUUUAGCUUCCCAUCGACCCUUUGCUAAGUCACGCCAACUGCGUUCCACAUUUGUAGAAGUGGAGGCCAGUUGCUGGACCCAACUUGCGAGGUCCUGGACCGCACCAGGAAACCAAGAAAUAGCUGCAUCAUCGGGAAUGGAUUAGAUCGAGAAAGAGUAGGGAAAGUAGAAUGUUAAGUCACCAUCGAUAAAUCUGCACUUACGUUUCAUGUUCCACUCCUCGGGGAAUGGCAUCCUCUCAGUAGGAAUCAGAUCGGAGGUCCUGAUUCGGACAAACCGGCUCAUCCAUCCUCGGUCCUUGUCCUCAUCGAUACUGGAGAAGAGAGAUAUCGUGGAUCAGCGCUGCAGAUUUAUCAGACCACCUCGAUAAAGGCGAGGGCUGUAUAGCCUGAUCAGGUGGUCGAGGGUAAAAUGCAUCCCCUCGACCAGGCACGAGAAAUAUCUGAUCAGAUUGAUGAUGCGCUAGAAUGAAGGGUAGAUCUGGCCAAGCGUCACCUGGUGUUGGCAAAAAUCAAGAAUCACUAGGUCUAUGUAACCUAAAGCUGGAUCUACGGGACCCAACGUGAAUGGAUAGGUAUACACACUUAAGUACCUCGCUUUAUGGGUAGUGGUGUCUUCUUCAGGGGAAGGGAUCACAACAUCUUUGUUCUCCCAAUUGCAGUCCUUUUUCACCUGCUCAAGCUCGCUUUCAGUUAUCAAGCAGAUGUAUCGAGACAUGGGCUCACAAUGGCCUGGUGUCAAAGCAAGUUGUUCGAUUUUAAAAUCGGAAGUUAGUUCGCACGGCCCUGGAAUACACUCCUCGAUAUGAGGUGGCACCACCGUUCUACCUCUGGCGGCCGAUAUGAUGAAGAAGUUUUUUCUUUCUGAGGAACAUUUUUAGAUGUUUUGGCCAUUGCGAUUUAUAAAUUCAAGAGAGGAGAAUGAGUAGAUGCUGUAGUAAGAGAAAAUUGAGAAGAGGGUGAACUCAAAGAAGUUGAAGGAGCUAAAGAAAAUUUAAGAAUGAUUUAAGAAGUAAAGUUUGCAAAAAAUUAUGAAGUUGGCCUAUUUAUAGAGGCUGCUUAAGCGUUUUGGGGAAGUCAAAUAGCUGACCAUCAGCCACCUCCAAUUAAUGACCUUGGGAACUAGGCGGAAGCAACUUUUUAAUCACUUCAGCCGCUGACAUCACAAGAUUGACAUCAUGGUCGAGGCGUCGGAGCAUCGAAGAUCAAAUCGUUUCUUAUCAUUUUACUCUAAGAAAUGCAGGGACUAUCUGUAUACGGUCAAAAUCAGAUAUGACCGAUUUUCCGGGCUCGAAGGGUCGCCUUAAGCCCGAGUUUGAGAUGGAUCGUUUUCGAGCUCGAGGGACCAAGAUCGAGCUCAACGACAAAGUACGAGGCUCGAAGAAUCUAGUGUUCGAGGAAUGUCGGAGCCUAAUGUGACUGACCUCGAGAUAAUGUCGUUAUGAAUUUAUAACAGAAUGAGCAAGAUUCCUGCCACGUCCCCAAGAUCAUGGCGUAAAUCCCGGAAUAGAUUUGUACGAAUCCGUACUAGGCGGUUAGACAGUUGUCCCAAUAAGAUUCUUUACUGUAAAUAGAAAUAUGCCUUAUUUAGGGUUCCCCUAUUAUAUAAAGGGGACCCCAAUCAUUUGUAAAGAUCAUCUAAUCAUUGGCAAAGAAUAUACUCUCUUACUUUUUUGCUCAUUGUUCAUCAGAAUUGUCCUUUAGCUUUAUUAUUUUUGCUUUAUUGUUCUUGAUCCAUCUCGAGGUCACUUUGGCUCGAGGUCGAGACUGGUCUACGUUCUGGUUUGAUUUUACUUGUUCCUUUCAUUUAUACUUCGGAUUUCUUGGUUAUUAAUUGGUAUUGAACUAAAUCAUGUAUCUUUAAAACUAUAAAUCAAAUUUAAUUGUUACUCAUAUUUUCGAGGUAAACAAUAACAACAACAAUAAACCUAUUGUAAUCCCAUAAGUGAGGUUUGGGGAGGAUAGUGUGUAAGCAUAUCUUACUCCUACCGUGUGCAGGUAGAGACCGUAUUUAGGAUUACUUUGGCUAAUUUAUGCUAUAUCAAAAGCACAAAGGCUCUUAGCGAAUUAUCGUUUGCCUUUUUUUAUUCUUUUAAAAUAAAGUUCACAAUAGACAAAAUAGUCAUUUAUUAUUUCCUUAAUUUUUAGGAAUAGCCCUUUAAUAAUUUUCCCUAUAUGAAAUCUUUCCUUAUUUGAAGUAGAUUCUAAAAAUUGAUCUUUGAAUACCACACAAAUUCUCGCUCGGACAGAAAUCUUCCCUCUUUAGCGUGAUUUUAUUAUUAAUUUAAAUAUAUCUCUAAUCUAUCACCUUAACAAAGGCACUAAAAUAUAGUCCUAAUUCAAAACCAAUUCAAUAGAAACUUUAUAUUCAUAGGAAGCUUAAUAUAUUAUAUCCAGGUUAUAUUCCACAAUAAAAUCGCCAAAGUGAUCCUUGGAACAAAUUAGAAUGUAAAAUUAAAUAUGUUUCAAACAACAAUAGAUAAUAGACAUUAACUAUUGGAUUGAGAGGCUUUUAGAAGCUUUGAAUUAAAAAUUUAUUUUUGAUAUCAACAACUAUUUUUUUACUUAAAUUUUGGUAAUCAAUCAUUGCAAUAAAAACUGGUUAAAGCUAGCGAGAAGAGAAGAAAACCCAUAAUAUACUAGAGCAAAUAUAGCAAAUUUUUUAACUGACAUAAAAAUUAAAUAAAAAGAUUAAUUUUUAAUUUAUGUUAUUUGACAAAUCCAUAAAGAAUCGCAAUAAAAGUAUAGGUGAUCGAGAAAUUUUAUUUUGUGUCUCACAUGUCAAGUCAUACUUAUGUGAGGCAUUCAUUUACUUACAUGUGGACUGAUUGGGGGUCCCACAUUUCAAGUGAUUAAACUUAAACAGAGAAAGAUUUUUCUUUCCUAUUCCAACACUGACUCCCCUUUUAACUUCAGAGAUUAAAAUAUUGUAAUUUUCAUAUUUAUCUUCUUGUACAAAACAAAAAA
rnacentral:lncRNA from 1 species